CCUACGGGUGGCAGCAGUCGAGAAUCUUUGACAAUGGACGCAAGUCUGACCCAGCGACGCCGCGUGAAGGAAGGAGGCUUUCGGGUUGUAAACUUCUUGUAAGGGGGGAGAGAAGAAGACGGUACCCCUUGCAUGAGCCACGGCUAACUACGUGCCAGCAGCCGCGGUCAUACAUAGGUGGAAAGCGUUGUCCGGAUUUACUGGGUGUAAAGGGCGUGCAGACGGAGAGACACGUCAGAUGUGAAAGCCACGGGCGCAACCCGGGAACUGCAUAUGAAACUGGGUCCCUUGAGUGUCGGAGAGGGAAUCGGAAUUCUUGGUGUAGCGGUGAAAUGCGUAGAUAUAAGGAAGAACACUAGUGGCGAAGGCGGAUUACUGGACGAUAACUGACGGUGAGGCGCGAAAGCGUGGGGAGCAAAAAGGAUUAGAUACCCCUGUAGUC
rnacentral:rRNA from 1 species